rnacentral:rRNA from 1 species
UCCGUAGGCGGGCUAAUAAGUCAGGGGUGAAAUCCAACAGCUUAACUGUUGAACUGCCUUUGAUACUGUUAGUCUUGAAUUAUAUGGAAGUAGAUAGAAUGUGUAGUGUAGCGGUGAAAUGCUUAGAGAUUACACAGAAUACCGAUUGCGAAGGCAGUCUACUACAUAUAUAUUGACGCUAAUGGACGAAAGCGUGGGGAGCGAACAGGAUUAGAUACCCUGGUAGUCC